CAUUCAUUCGCCGGUUCAAUCGAUCGAGAGAGAUUUGCAGAAGGAGAGAAAAAAAUAUGUCUUUCAUGAGAGGAGAAGCGUUAGUCUCUAAACUUGCUGCGCUCGCCAAAUACGCCGUUCUUCCUGGAACUAUGAUCGCCGCUCUCAUUUAUUCGCCGCCUGAUUUCUCCAAACACUCUAAAUCUUCCAAAUAGGUUACAAACCGUACAAGUAUGUGGCCUCAAGAGCUACUUCUCUCUUUGGAAAAUGUUCGUUGGUGAUUGAUUGACUCGAAUGUUCAGAAUAAUGUUUCAUGGAAACUUUCCCCGUUGAGAAUAAGAUAUGCACAAGUUAUCUUGUUACAUAACCAUCUCAUUUUGACUUCUUAUUGUCAAAACUCUUCCUUAGAUCGUAUUCAUCGGUUGAUUUGCUCUCUAAA